GCCGUCGUAGCGCAGUGGUAGCGCGUCGCUUUCCUAUUUAGUAUUGGGUCAGGCGAAGGUUGCGAGUUCGAUCCUCCACGUCGGUA